rnacentral:tRNA from 1 species
GCCUGGAUAGCUCAGUUGGUUUGAGCAUAGUGCUGAUAAUGCCAUGGUUGCAGGUUUGAUCCCCAUAUGGGACA